rnacentral:rRNA from 2 species
GAUUUCUGGUACGGUGCGCGUGGCCCGCCAUCGAAAGGUGCGCGAGUGUCGCUUGUGCGUCUACCAUCUCUCAUAGCUAGGGUGUCUCUCUCCAGGGGCAUCUGAACUAUGUCUUUUACUUUGAAGAAAUUAGAGUGUUCAAAGCAGGCUUGCGCAUGAAUAUAUUAGCAUGGAAUAAUAAUUUAGGACUUUGAUCCUAUUUUGUUGGUUUUAAGGAUUAAAGUAAUGAUUGAUAGGGAUAGUUGGGGGUGCUAGUAUUCACCGGCCAGAGGUGAAAUUCUUGGAUUCGGUGAAGACUAACUUAUGCGAAAGCAUU